AUUGAACGCUGGCGGCAGGCUUAACACAUGCAAGUCGAGCGGGGAAGGUUGCUUCGGUAACUGACCUAGCGGCGGACGGGUGAGUAAUGCUUAGGAAUCUGCCUAUUAGUGGGGGACAACAUUCCGAAAGGGAUGCUAAUACCGCAUACGCCCUACGAGGGAAAGCAGGGGAUCUUCGGACCUUGCGCUAAUAGAUGAGCCUAAGUCGGAUUAGCUAGUUGGUGGGGUAAAGGCCUACCAAGGCGACGAUCUGUAGCGGGUCUGAGAGGAUGAUCCGCCACACUGGGACUGAGACACGGCCCAGACUCCUACGGGAGGCAGCAGUGGGGAAUAUUGGACAAUGGGCGGAAGCCUGAUCCAGCCAUGCCGCGUGUGUGAAGAAGGCCUUUUGGUUGUAAAGCACUUUAAGCGAGGAGGAGGCUCUUAAGGUUAAUACCCUUGAUGAGUGGACGUUACUCGCAGAAUAAGCACCGGCUAACUCUGUGCCAGCAGCCGCAGUAA
rnacentral:rRNA from 1 species